GUUAGGAAUUUUGCGCAAUGGACGAAAGUCUGACGCAGCAACGCCGCGUGAGGGAUGAAGGCCUUCGGGUUGUAAACCUCUUUUAGUCGGGACGAAACAAAUGACGGUACCGACAGAAACAGCACCGGCUAACCCUGUGCCAGCAGCCGCGGUAAUACAGGGGGUGCAAGCGUUACUCGGAAUUACUGGGCGUAAAGAGCGUGUAGGCGGCUUGGCAAGUUUGGUGUGAAAGCCCUGGGCUCAAUCCAGGAAGUGCAUUGAAUACUGCCGAGCUAGAGUAUAGGAGAGGUGAGCGGAAUUCCCGGUGUAGAGGUGAAAUUCGUAGAUAUCGGGAGGAACAACAGAGGCGAAGGCGGCUCACUGGACUAUUACUGACGCUAAGGCGCGAAAGCGUGGGGAGCAAACAGGAUUAGAUACCCUGGUAGUCC
rnacentral:rRNA from 1 species